GAUGAACGCUAGCGGCAGGCCUAAUACAUGCAAGUCGAGGGGCAGCGGGGUAGCAAUACUGCCGGCGACCGGCGCACGGGUGCGUAACACGUAUGCAACCUACCUUAAACAGGGGGGAUUAGCCCGGGGAAACUCGGGAUUAAUACCCCCAUAACACGGUGUUGUCUCAUGACAGUAUCGUUAAAGAUUUAUCGGUUUAAGCUGGGCAUGCGUUCGAUUAGCUAGUUGGUGAGGUAAUGGCUCACCAAGGCUACGAUCGAUAGGGGGUCUGAGAGGAUGAUCCCCCACACUGGUACUGAGAUACGGACCAGACUCCUACGGGAGGCAGCAGUAGGGAAUAUUGGUCAAUGGGCGCAAGCCUGAACCAGCCAUGCCGCGUGCAGGAAGAAGGCCCUCUGGGUUGUAAACUGCUUUUGAUAGGGAACAAAUGCCACUUGCGAGUGGAGCUGAGUGUACCUAUAGAAUAAGC
rnacentral:rRNA from 1 species